UACGGGGGGGGCAAGCGUUGUUCGGAAUUACUGGGCGUAAAGGGCGCGUAGGCGGUUCGCUAAGUUGGAUGUGAAAACUCUGGGCUCAACCCAGAGCCUGCAUCCAAAACUGGCGGACUUGAGUACCGGAGAGGGUCGCGGAAUUCCCGGUGUAGAGGUGAAAUUCGUAGAUAUCGGGAGGAACACCAGUGGCGAAGGCGGCGACCUGGACGGAUACUGACGCUGAGGUGCGAAAGCGUGGGGAGCAAACAGG
rnacentral:rRNA from 1 species